AUGUUUUGUGCUUUAUUAGUCUGCUUUGUUUUUGUUGCACAGAUUGCAGCAAAAGUUGGCAUGGAUCCAUGUAUGGUUGCACAAAUAUCAUUUCUUUUGCACAGACACUACAUGCAAUUUUAUUGUUCUAUCUGCAACUACACAUUGUGUUUAUUUGCACAUAUCCAGGCAAAAGUUGGCUUACUUUCAUGUUUAGUUACACAAAUAGAUGGUUUUUUUGCACAGGCACUACAUCCUGUCUAUUUUUGCAUAUGCAACUACUCCUUUUUUUAUAUGCACACAUCCAGGCAAAAGUUGGCUUAG
rnacentral:rRNA from 1 species